GACCUCUACUGUCUGCAGCUACUGACUCAAUGUUACUACCGCUACUGUCAAAAACUACUGUUUGUGUGCAAGUGAUAAUAAGGUAUGUUGUUUUGAAUGAAAUACAGGACAAUGAUCUCUAGAUACAGCUGAAAUACAGGACUAUGAUCUCUGAUACAGGACUAUGAUCUCUAAUGGUGAAAUACAGGACUAUGAUCUCUAAUGGUGAAAUACAGGACUAUGAUCUCUGAUACAGGACUAUGAUCUCUAAUGGUGAAAUACAGGACUAUGAUCUCUAAUGGUGAAAUACAGGACUAUGAUCUAUAAUGGUGAAAUACAGGACUAUGAUCUCUGAUACAGGACUAUGAUCUCUAAUGGUGAAAUACAGGACUAUGAUCUCUAAUGGUGAAAUACAGGACUAUGAUCUAUAAUGGUGAAAUACAGGACUAUGAUCUCUAAUGGUGAAAUACAGGACUAUGAUCUCUGAUACAGGUGAAAUACAGGACUAUGAUCUCUGAUACAGGACUAUGAUCUCUAAUGGUGAAAUACAGGACUAUGAUCUCUAAUGGUGAAAUACAGGACUAUGAUCUCUAGAUACAGCUGAAAUACAGGACUAUGAUCUCUGAUACAGGACAAUGAUCUCUAAGGAUGAAAUACAGGACUAUGAUCUCUGAUACAGGACUAUGAUCUCUAAUGGUGAAUUACAGGACUAUAAUCUCUAAUGGUGAAAUACAGGACUAUGAUCUCUAAUGGUGAAAUACAGGACUAUGAUCUCUAAUGGUGAAAUACAGGACUAUGAUCUCUAAUGGUGAAAUACAGGACUAUGAUCUGUGAUGAUGAAAUGUAUAUCUGUGCUGUUUGAUCAUGACUACUUGAAUUACAUUUGGUGGAAAUACAUAACGACGAACGCUGUAAUACUUUCAGAUGUUUAUUGAAUAAAUACUGGCAGAUGUAUGACUCAUCAUGCUGUGUGGUAACUUGAUGAAAUAGAGAAAAAAAAAGGGUAC
ensembl:lncRNA